GAUGAACGCUAGCGAUAGGCUUAACACAUGCAAGUCGAGGGGCAUCACGAAUUAGCAAUAGUUUGGUGGCGACCGGCGCACGGGUGCGUAACACGUAUACAACCUACCUUCAAUUGGGGGAAUAACCUGGAGAAAUUCGGACUAAUAUCCCAUAGCAAACGGAAGAGGCAUCUUUUUUGUUUAAAGAUUUAUUGAUUGGAGAUGGGUAUGCGUAGGAUUAGCUAGUUGGUAAGGUAACGGCUUACCAAGGCGACGAUCCUUAGGGGUUCUGAGAGGAAGGUCCCCCACACUGGUACUGAGACACGGACCAGACUCCUACGGGAGGCAGCAGUGAGGAAUAUUGGUCAAUGGUCGAGAGACUGAACCAGCCAAGUCGCGUGAAGGAAGACGGCUCUAUGAGUUGUAAACCUUCUUUUGUACAGGAGUAAAGUGAGACACGCGUGUUUUAUUGCAAGUACUGUACGAAUAAGCAUCGGCUAACUCCGUGCCAGCAGCCGCGGUAAGGA
rnacentral:rRNA from 1 species